rnacentral:misc_RNA from 1 species
GAUGAAGAACGUAGCGAAAUGCGAUAAGUAAUGCGAAUUGCAGAAUUCAGUGAAUCAUCGAAUCUUUGAACGCACAUUGCGCCCGCUAGUAUUCUGGCGGGCAUGCCUGUCUGAGCGUCAUUUCAACCCUCGCCCCCGGCUUUUGCUGGGAGCGGUGUUGGGGAUCGGCCGCCCGUCACUGGGAGGCCGGCCCCGAAAUAGAGUGGCGACCACGCCGUGUGCUCCUCUGCGUAGUAGUAAAUCACCUCGCAGGCGGACAGCGGUGCGGCCUGCCGUAAAACCCCCAACUCUUUCUGGUUGACCUCAGAUCAGGUAGGAAUACCCGCUGAACUUAAGCAUAUCAAUAAGCGGGGA